rnacentral:rRNA from 1 species
AACCUCCGCAAUGUGAGAAAUCGCGACGGGGGGAUCCCAAGUGCCAUUCUUAACGGGAUGGCUUUUCAUUAGUGUAAAGAGCUUUUGGAAUAAGGGCUGGGCAAGACCGGUGCCAGCCGCCGCGGUAACACCGGCAGCUCUAGUGGUAGCAGUUUUUAUUGGGCCUAAAGCGUCCGUAGCCGGUUUAAUAAGUCUCUGGUGAAAUCCUGUAGCUUAACUGUGGGAAUUGCUGGAGAUACUAUUAGACUUGAGACCGGGAGAGGUUAGAGGUACUCCCAGGGUAGAGGUGAAAUUCUGUAAUCCUGGGAGGACCGCCUGUUGCGAAGGCGUCUAACUGGAACGGUUCUGACGGUGAGGGACGAAAGUUAGGGGCGCGAACCGGAUUAGAUACCCGGGUAGUCCUAACUGUAAACGAUGCGGACUUGGUGUUGGGGUGGCUUUGAGCUGCUCAGUGCCGAAGGGAAGCUGUUAAGUCCGCCGCCUGGGAAGUACGGUCGCAAGACUGAAACUUAAAGGAAGU